CCCUCUCUCCAGCUGCUUCGUUCAGCUCUUCCCAGGGGGUCCCGAGGCGUUCCCAGACCAGCUGGAAGACAUAGUCUCCCCACCGUGUUUUUUGCAGCAGUUUAAAACAAAACACCAGUUUCAAAAAAACUAAAAUUUUAAACAUUCUGGUGACUGAGCUGCCAGUUUAUUACUGUAAAAUCAGUAAUUUUUACAGUGUAAAAUUUGAUGGGUAAGUAAAACAGAUGUUUCAGUGUUCAUUUUUAUUACAACAAAAAUGUUUGGAUUGUAUAUUUGUUGUCUAACGCAGGUGUCAAAUCCAUACCUUUUGCAGUGACUGGUAUUGUCUUGCUUUCUAUUUACUCUUCCUGGUCACGUGACCGCCACGGUCCAAUUAGCUGUGCUUAUAAGCCGGUAGCAGGAAGUGGCCAGUAGACAGAACUUGAGGGGAAACCGAUUGUAUUUCUGCUCGGGAGCCGACUACCAGCGCCGGAGUUUUUUCUCAUUAAGCUGUGUGUGACUGUAGAAGAGUUGGCCAGGCUUCUCUUUUUGAUGGCGAGCUAAGGAAACUAAGCAUCUAGUCCAAGGAUCGUUCUUGGAAGAUUCCAGCCAGGAACCCCACCACCUGUUCUGUCUGGGC